rnacentral:lncRNA from 1 species
AUGAGAUGAAGCUUGCCUCUCCUUGGAUUAGCAGCCCAAGUGAGUCACAAGCACAGCUGAGCUAGAUCAGGUGGGAGGCAUCACUGCAAACUGCAAAUGCUCUGAACCAGCCUGCUCAUGGGAUUGCAUGGGCUCCUGACUCAUAGCGUGUGCUGAAGCACUUGGAGCAGAAAGGCAGUACAGGUCCUGCAGCUGCUUGGAGGGGUUGCACAGGGCAUUGAUCACAUGCAACAUCCUUAACCAGAGUGUUGCAGUUGAGCACUUCAGCUCCAUGUGCUAUUGAUUCUUCAACAAACAGAAAUGGUUUUGAUAUCUGUACAAACACAGUUUCUCCCAUUUAUAUUAUCACCACUUUUUUUUGCCUGAUAACUUCCAAUGACAUAUAGUAAAAGCUGUAGGAAAAACAUACGUGAUAUAUUGUGAAUAAAAUACCUGAAAGUUUUCA